rnacentral:lncRNA from 1 species
UUACAAAUAACGUUUUUCCAAAAUUUCCGUGAGGUUUGAAUAUUCGUUCCCUGUCUUUCACUAGCCAGGAUGAUUCUUGCCACUUGUGCAACUCGAAACAAUUGUUAAAAUGUCGAAGAGAAGGCAAACACCAAGGCAAACUCCAAAAUAAAAAGCUAAAAUAUUUUUGCGAAAAUCAGGGGGAUGUCAAAGUGGUAGCGGGCUCAAAAUGAGCCUUGCUCAGUGGUAAUUACCACGAGGAUUUAGGACCAGUGGCGUCAUUCUGGCGUCAGCGAACGUGAAAAUCCUU